AUUGAACGCUGGCGGCAGGCCUAACACAUGCAAGUCGAGCGGUAGAGAGGUGCUUGCAUCUCUUGAGAGCGGCGGACGGGUGAGUAAUGCCUAGGAAUCUGCCUAGUGGGGGGGGAUAACGUUCGGAAACGGACGCUAAUACCGCAUACGUCCUACGGGAGAAAGCGGGGGAUCUUCGGACCUCGCGCCAUUAGAUGAGCCUAGGUCGGAUUAGCUAGUUGGUGAGGUAAUGGCUCACCAAGGCGACGAUCCGUAACUGGUCUGAGAGGAUGAUCAGUCACACUGGAACUGAGACACGGUCCAGACUCCUACGGGAGGCAGCAGUGGGGAAUAUUGGACAAUGGGCGAAAGCCUGAUCCAGCCAUGCCGCGUGUGUGAAGAAGGUCUUCGGAUUGUAAAGCACUUUAAGUUGGGUAGGAAGGGUAGUAACCUAAU
rnacentral:rRNA from 1 species